GAGUUUGAUCCUGGCUCAGGACGAACGCUGGCGGCGUGCCUAAUGCAUGCAAGUCGAACGCAGCAGGUUAGCCCUGGCUGCGUGGCGAACGGCUGAGGAACACGUGGGUAACCUGCCCCGGAGUGGGGGAUACCCCGUCGAAAGACGGGACAAUCCCGCAUACGCUCUUUGGAGGAAAGCCAGACGGCGCUCUGGGAGGGGCCUGCGGCCCAUCAGGUAGUUGGUGUGGUAACGGCGCACCAAGCCAAUGACGGGUACCCGGUCUGAGAGGACGACCGGGCAGACUGGGACUGCGACACGGCCCAGACUCCUACGGGAGGCAGCAGCAAGGAAUUUUCCCCAAUGGGCGCAAGCCUGAGGGAGCAACGCCGCGUGGAGGACGACGGCCUUCGGGUUGUAAACUCCUUUCGGGUGGGACGAAGCUGACGGUACCACCAGAAGAAGUCCCGGCUAACUCUGUGCCAGCAGCCGCGGUAAGACAGAGGGGGCAAGCGUUGUCCGGAGUUACUGGGCGUAAAGGGCGCGCAGGCGGUGGGCUGCGUCGGCGCUGAAAGCGCCCCGCUUAACGGGGCGAGGUGCGCCGAUACGAGCCCACUCGAGGCAAGCAGAGGGUGGCGGAAUUCCGGGUGGAGCGGUGAAAUGCGUAGAGAUCCGGAGGAACGCCAGUGGGGAAGCCGGCCACCUGGGCUUGACCUGACGCUACGGCGCGACAGCGUGGGGAGCAAACCGGAUUAGAUACCCGGGUAGUCCACGCCGUAAACGAUGCCGGCUCGGCGUCUGGCGCACGUUGGUGUGCUGGGUGCCUUAGCUCACGCGGUAAGC
rnacentral:rRNA from 1 species